CCUACGGGGGGCUGCAGUGGGGAAUAUUGGGCAAUGGGCGCAAGCCUGACCCAGCAACGCCGCGUGAAGGAAGAAGGCUUUCGGGUUGUAAACUUCUUUUCUCAGGGACGAAGAAAGUGACGGUACCUGUGGAAUAAGCCACGGCUAACUACGUGCCAGCAGCCGCGGUAAUACGUAGGUGGCAAGCGUUAUCCGGAUUUAUUGGGUGUAAAGGGCGUGUAGGCGGGAGCGCAAGUCAGAUGUGAAAACUCAGGGCUUAACCCUGAGCCUGCAUUUGAAACUGUGUGUCUUGAGUGCUGGAGAGGCGAUCGGAAUUCCGGGUGGAGCGGUGAAAUGCGUAGAUAUAGGGAGGAACACCAGUGGCGAAGGCGGAUUGCUGGACAGUAACUGACGCUGAGGCGCGAAAGCGUGGGGAGCAAACAGGAUUAGAUACCCCUGUAGUC
rnacentral:rRNA from 1 species